rnacentral:misc_RNA from 1 species
AAACCCUCAAAGUAAAUCUUUUGUUCAUUCGAUUGAUUUUAUUUUGGACUUGGAGGUCUUGCAGAAUCCAUGUCUGCUCCUCUCAAAAGCAUUAGCUGGAUCCUCUGUCAGCUUGGUUCCACUCAGUGUGAUAAGUAUCACUCGCUGAGGACACUGUAAACAGUGGCUGGGAUUGCAGAUGAACCGCUUCUAAUCAUCUACUAGUUUAUUAGACAUCACG